rnacentral:lncRNA from 1 species
UGGUUUCAGUGGGGGAAAGUGGAGGAGGGUCCUGAGGUGGUGCUGGGUUCUGUGGAGGACACCUCCGUGGUGGAGAUGGCAGGAGUUGAAGCGGCUCCAGUGGUGAAGGAUGUGGAGGACUCUGCUGAGGUGGUGGUGGGUUCUGUGGAGGUCCCCUCUGUGGAGAUGAGAGGGGUUGAGGUGGCUCCAGUGGUCAAGAGGGAUGUGGAGAAUUGUCCUGAGGUGGUUGGGGCUGUCGUGGGGGUCACCUCAGUGGAGAUGACAGGAGUUGAGGUGGCUCCAGUGGUGGAGAAGGAUGUGGAGGAGACUCCUGAGGUGGUGGGGGCUUGUGUGGUGGUUAUUUCCAUGGAGGUCACACCGGUGGAGGUGGCCUCAGUGGUGGAGAUGGAAGUGGAGAAGAGUCCUGAGGUAGUUGGGGCUGACGUUGGGGUCAUGUCUGUUGAGGUGAGACCAGUGGAGAUGGCAUCAGUGGUGGAGAAGGUGGUGGAGGGGAGUCCUGAGGUGGUGGUGGUGGGUUCUGUGGAGGUCACACCAGUGGAGGUGACAGGAGUCGAGGUGGCUCCAGUGGUGGAGAUGGAAGUGGAGGAGAGUCCUGAAGUAGUUGAGGCUGACGUUGGGGUCAUGUCUGUUGAGGUGACAUCAGUGGAGGUGGCUCCAGUGGUCAAGAGGGAUGUGGAGAAUUGUCCUGAGGUGGUUGGGGCUGUCGUGGGGGUCACCUCAGUGGAGAUGACAGGAGUUGAGGUGGCUCCAGUGGUGGAGAAGGAUGUGGAGGAGACUCCUGAGGUGGUGGGGGCUUGUGUGGUGGUUAUUUCCAUGGAGGUCACACCGGUGGAGGUGGCCUCAGUGGUGGAGAUGGAAGUGGAGAAGAGUCCUGAAGUAGUUGGGGUCAUGUCUGUUGAGGUGAUACCAGUGGAGGUGGCAUCAGUGGUGGAGAAGGUGGUGGAGGGGAGUCCUAAGGUGGUGGAGAGGAGUCCUGAGGUGGUGGUGGGUUCUGUGGAGAUCACCACGGUGGAGAUGACAGGAGUUGAGGUGGCUCCAGUGGUGGAGAAGAAUGUGGAGGAAUGUCCUGAGGUGGUUGGGGCUGUCGUGGGUGUUAUCUCCAUUGAGGGGACAUCAGUGGAGGUGACUCCAGUGGUCAAGAAAGAUGUGGAUGAAUGUCCUGAGGUGGUGGGGGCUGUCGUGGGGGUCACCUCGGUGGAGGGAGAAGCAGUGGAGGUGGCUCCAGUGGUGGAGAAGGUGGUGGAGGGGAGUCCUGAGGUGGUGGUGGGUUCUGUGGAGAUCACCAUGGUGGAGAUGAGAGGAGUUGAGGUGGCUCCAGUGGUGGAGAUGGUGGUGGAGGAGAGUUCUGAGGAUGUUGGGGUUGUCGUGGAGGUCAUCUCUGUUGAGGAGACACCAGUGGAGGUGGCCUCAGUGGUGGAGAUGGAAGUGGAGGACUCUACUGAAGUGAUGGGGACUUCUGUGGAGGUGGAGGUGACAGUGAUGGAGGUGGCUCCAGUGGAGAAGGUGGUGGACGAGAGUCCUGAGGUAGUUGGGGUUGUCGUGUGGAUCAUCUGUGCUGAGGUGACACCAGUGAUGGUGGCUCCAGUGGCGAAGACUGUGGAAAGGUGGAGAUCAGGGCCAUGAUGGAGACCAUCAGCAGAACUUCAGCUACCAGGAGA